rnacentral:rRNA from 1 species
CCUACGGGAGACAGCAGUGAGGAAUAUUGGACAAUGGAGGAGAGCCUGAACCAGCGAAGUAGCGUGAAGGAUGACUGCCCUAUGGGUUGUAAACUUCUUCUAUAUGGGAAUAAUAUGGUCCACGGGAGGGAUGUUGUAAGUACCAUAAGAAGAAGGAUCGGCUAACUCCGUGCCAGCCGCCGCGGUAAUAAGGAGGAUACGAGCGUUCUCCGGAUUUAAUGGGUAUAAAGGGAUCGUAGGGGGAUUGGUAAGUCAGUUGUGAAAGUUUGCGGCUCAACCGUAAAAUUGCAGUUGAAACUGGCAGUCUUGAGUACAGUAGAGGUGGGCGGAAUUCGUGGUGUAGCGGUGAAAUGCGUAGAUAUUACGAAGAACUCCGAUUGCGAAGGCAGUUCACUGGACUGCAACUGACACUGAGGCUCGAAAGUGUGGGUAUCAAACAGGAUUAGAUACCCGAGUAGUC